rnacentral:hammerhead_ribozyme from 1 species
ACCUUGCUGACGAGUGCUAAAUAGCACGAAACGCGGGUCCAGGGU